ACUUUUCACCUGAUUACUCAGCGCUGACUUACAACUGGAAGUUUAACUUGUCGCUCUUUCUUUAAAAGAAACAAUUACCACAGAUAAAAGUUAACAGUAUCUUUGCAAUGACACAUCCAGAAGCUGUGUGCACGGCUUCCACCUUUCAGCACUGUAGACUUUCUGUCUGGUAAACAAGCUAACUUUAGUGGAAGUUCAGUGACGCUUGUGGAGACUUUAACGUUAGCUAUGUGGUUUACAGCUAGCUAGCUCUGGCCUUUCGUCCUUCGGAGUUCAAAGUCAAGCUGUUCCACUCUGAUGUUGAUGAAAGUCCGACUGUCUAGCAGAACCAGCGGCAGGAGAGGCCCGGGCGGGUGGAAUUCCCUGACCGGGAAUCUAUCUAUAUAAAAGUCGCCAAAACAGCAAACUCUGUAGGUGGGUCUUCGAUGAUGAAGACGGCAUGACAGCAGGAGCUAAGGACCAAUAACCAGGUUAUGAGAAUCUUCCAUCUGAAGCUGAGGUAAUAUCCUUCGAUUCAAUAUCCUUCGUACCUGAAAUGAUACAAGAUCACCGGUGAAGUGUUCAUUUAGAAAAGUCCUUAUCAACCAGUGGAAUUUUUUAAAUGUAUUUAACUAGGCAAGUCAGUUAAGAACAAAUUCUUAUUUUCAAUGACGGCCUUGGAACAGUGGGUUAACUGCCUUGUUCAGAGGCAGAACAACAGAUUUGUACCUUGUCAGCUAGGAGAUUUGAUCUUGCAAGCAUUUCGGUUACUAGUCCAACGCUCUAACCACUAGGCUACGCUGAACUGAAGAAGACUUUCUCACUACCGGUAGACUGUCAGAACAUCAUGUCUAAUAGUUAUCUAUGGGACUGAUACCAGUGUGGAAGAGCUGGUCAUGUCUAAUAGUUAUCUAUGUGGGACUGAUACCAGUGUGAAUAGCUGGUCAUGUCUCAUAGUUAUCUAUGGGACUGAUACCAGUGUGGAAGAGCUGGUCAUGUCUAAUAGUUAUCUAUGGGACUGAUACCAGUGUGGAAGAGCUGGUCAUGUCUAAUAGUUAUCUAUGUGGGACUGAUACCAGUGUGAAGAGCUGGUCAUGUCUAAUAGUUAUCUAUGGGACUGAUACCAGUGUGAAGAGCUGGUCAUGUCUAAUAGUUAUCUAUGUGGGACUGAUACCAGUGUGGAAGAGCUGGUCACUUUUAAAAGACUUGGUAAAUUAUUACCUUGCCAACAGGACGAUUGAAUAUUAUUGCCUUGUAGACAAUUAUUUUAUUUAUUUUUGUGAGUUUCCUCCUGAUACAGGAUGUGGUAGGAGUCAUAAGGGACGUCAUCAUUACACAUGGUAAUACUUAUUUUCUAUAACUUUGUUUGAAAUCAAUUUCUUAUUGUAACAGAAAUUAGAAUAUGCCCUUUGUGUUUUAAAAGAAAUGCGUGUUUAAGGUUUUUAAUGUGAAUAAUGAUAUGCUUACUGCUUUUUUUUUCAUAAUGUCUAUUUCUUUCAUGUUUUCUAUUGUUUUCUAAAAAUACAUUUUAAGUAUAUUUCUUUUUUUUAAAUGGUCUGGGAGGGUGUAAGAAUAUUUUAAAGAUAAAUACACAACCUAGAGACAGAGUACAAGAGGUCAAAGGAGGAGAGUCAAUAGAAUACUAACAAUCAAGGGAAAUAGUUUUUUUUCUGUAAUAGGGAAUUAUUGAUCCAUGGUUCAGAGACAUGGGAGGAAUAUGUCUUCUGACAUGUGAUACUUGUUAUUUGGCCAUUGGCUAGUUUUAUUGGAAGGAAUUCUAAUUGGUCAACCACAGGCUAGGGCUGGGUUAUAAAACUACAUGCUUUCCCUGUUCUGUGGAGAGAGAAUCACAGGAGAGAACCACUGAGAGAGAAUCACAGGAGAAAACCACUGAGAGAGAAUCACUGGAGAGAAUCACAGGAGAGAACCACUAAGAGAGAAUUACUGGACAGAAUCACAGGAGAGAACCACUGGGAGAGAAUCACUGAGGACAGGGGAGAAUGACCAUCUACCUCUCAGCUUAUCAUCUAUGAUUUAUCCUCUUUGAAUAAACCUAUUUUCCUUCCCCUGAUUUGCUUUGGGGUUUGUGCUGUUAAAGAGUAAACAUCAACUGCUAACAAGUUCAUAAACCAUGUGCCAUGGAAUCGGUAGAACAUUGAAAAUCUCUUCCCAACUAGUUUGCAAUCUAUAUGGCACAGCUGUAAAGCUUUUGGUCAUUAAAUGAAACUGGUAUACUUUUGUAUUUAUCACAAUUUUCUUUAACCAUUUUUGGUCUUUAAUGCCGACAGACAAGUUCCACUUUUAUAGACAAUAUACAGACGCACAGACAGCACAUUGAACAAACAAAACAACCUUCACAAUAUGAACUGGAAUUACAUUGGUUUAUUAAUGAACUUUUUGUUGAAAACAAAUAUUUGAAUGGGAAGAGACUGUCACUGGUAACCAUGGUUACAAGGAGGGUAUACUAUAAUAUAAUAUAAUAUUGUUGGGUCUGUAACUUUCCACCCUCCUCAUGGAGAAAAUCACCAGAGAUAAUUAUAACACACAAAGUGUGAGAAAAACAAUUCAAUGCAUCAUUCUAACAUUGCCUAAAAUAUAAGACAUUAAUGAGAUAGACCUGCACAAUGCAGUUGUACAAUAUAUGGCAUAUAUGACGAUAGGCUGGGCGAUGACCAAUCAUAUCGAGGGGUUCCCGUGAAGAUGACCAAUCAUAUCGAGUGGUUCCCGUGACGAUGACCAAUCAUAUCGAGUGGUUCCCGUGACGAUGACCAAUCAUAUCAAGUGGCUCUCAUGACGAAUCUGACGCAAUGAGACCCAACCAGCCAAGAAGGCUGACAACAAUACCAGGACGGAAGCAAAUGUAAUUAAUGAUAAAGUCAUAACGAUUCAUGCUAAAAAUAUACAGUUGAGAUGAAUGUGUUAGCUAGUUGGUGUAGAGACAAACGAUUAUGCAUUUUUCUGUCAUAAAGUUAUUUACGAAAAUCGCUAUUCAGCAUGCUAGCUGACCUUCGAACAUUAGCAAGCUAGCUGACUAGCUUUAUGGGUGUUGUGACAUGAGUAUGAAAUUGUAAUUUUGGUUGUUUAAUGCUUUAGGGACUCUUGAAACAACCAGCAAACCAGACUGAAGUAUUGUGAAACAGUGGAUGUAAAUAAUCUAGCAAGUUAAAGCAUUUACUGCAAAUUGAAUGUAUAAUUUUGUAAACUUGCCUUGCUGAUAUUUGCAAUGCAGAUGAAGUAACGUAGCUAGAUAUUUUCUUGUGUAGUGCAGAAUAAAAAUAUCUGUAUGCCUAUAGAUGUGUAGCCGAUCUGUGUAUGAAGCCUAAAACGUUUGGUAUACAAAUUUGUUCAGAACCUAGCUAUGAACCUCAGCUUUCCUAGCCUGUUGUAUCUUCAAAACAGUCUGAAUGAUAUUAAUGAAGCCUAUGGAUUGAGUAGAAUAUAAUAACUUUGUGGAAAGGUUGCAAGUCGUAUAUACAUGUAGUUAUUGAGAUCCCACAUUGUAGCCUGUACAUUUAAUAUAUUCACUGAUCAUGUACUCUACUCUACCUUGGCAAAUAAAAGGUGCAGUUCAAGUA